rnacentral:misc_RNA from 1 species
GAUGAAGAACGUAGCGAAAUGCGAUAAGUAAUGUGAAUUGCAGAAUUCAGUGAAUCAUCGAAUCUUUGAACGCACAUUGCGCCCGCCAGUAUUCUGGCGGGCAUGCCUGUUCGAGCGUCAUUUCAUCCAUCAAGCCCCCGGCUUGUGUUGGGGACCUGCGGCUGCCGCAGGCCCUGAAAAGCAGUGGCGGGCUCGCUGUCACACCGAGCGUAGUAGCAUACAUCUCGCUCUGGGCGUGCUGCGGGUUCCGGCCGUUAAACCACCUUCAUAACCCAAGGUUGACCUCGGAUCAGGUAGGAAGACCCGCUGAACUUAAGCAUAUCAAUAAGCGGAGGA